AUUAAAGCGCACUGAGCCAGCAGAUUUUGAGGGUUGUUGCAGCCCAUAGUAAACUUGUGUCUCGCCUUACGACAAAGAAAAGAAAAGAAGACAGGAUCGCGGCCGCACCUCUCGUUUCUCACGCCCGCUCCAUGCCUGCUCUUGAACGGCGAUCAAACGGACAGGGCGCCACUGUCACGAGCGAAGCCAAGAACCACCCUUGCCAAGACUUGUCAACUCAACCAUCUCACCCACACAGAAAGACAAGGACCUUGGUAUCACGUUAGACAACUGUCCUUUAGUCUGUUUAUAAAACGUUUGCAAGACCUUCUCUUACCUGCUCAGAUUCUGCGUCAGGCCUCAGUCGGAUCCCAUCUUCACUCCUGCAACUUACUUCAAGCUGGCCUCCCUUGUUAUUACAUGGUAUGCCGCUCUCACUUGGCUCCAGUUGAUCACCAACUGCUUCAUUAUACACU